AGAGUUUGAUCCUGGCUCAGGACGAACGCUGGCGGCGUGCCUAACACAUGCAAGUCGAGCGGAGACAGUGAGUAGCUUGCUAUGAGCUGUUUUAGCGGCGGACGGGUGAGUAACGCGUGAGCAACCUUUCCCAGACAGGGGAAUAACACACCGAAAGGUGUACUAAUACCUCAUAAGACCACGGGAUCACAUGGUUCUGGGGUAAAAGAUUUAUCGGUUUGGGGUGGGCUCGCGUCCGAUUAGGUAGUUGGUGGAGGU
rnacentral:rRNA from 1 species